rnacentral:rRNA from 1 species
GUAGGAGGCGAGCGUUAUCCGGAUUUACUGGGCGUAAAGCGCGUGUAGGCGGUUUCUUAAGUCGGACGUGAAAGCUCUCGGCUCAACUGGGAGAGGUCGUUCGAAACUAGGGAACUUGAGGGUGGUAGAGGAGAGUGGAAUUCCCGGUGUAGUGGUGAAAUGCGUAGAUAUCGGGAGGAACACCAGUGGCGAAGGCGGCUCUCUGGGCCACUCCUGACGCUAAGACGCGAAAGCUAGGGGAGAGAACGGGAUUAGAAACCCCGGGUAUUCCUAGCUGUAAACGAUGUCAACUAGGUGUAGGGGGUUAUCCCAACCCCCCCCGUGUGCUGUAGCUAACGCAUUAAGUUGACCGCCUGGGGACUACGGCCGCAAGGCUA